AAACCUGAGAAACCCGAAAGAUCGAAUGGGGAGAUUCAUCGUCAGCGAUUCCGGUACGUGUGCGGCUCGCGAUGUCCGAGACUUCGGUCUCGCGACACGCGUCCGCAUGUUUUUUAUUGCUGGAAUCGUCGGCGUGCACUUCUCCCCUAGUAGGACGUCGCGACCCGUUGGGUGUCGGUCUACGGCACGGUAGGGCAGCCUGUCACGCGUGUCGCUUCACGGCGUUACCCGGGGCAGACCUCCGUUCGCCCGACCGACUGCUCGGCGGUACUCGCAAGGUAUCUGGCCGCAGACAUACGAACUGCGUCCGGCCCGUCGCAAGCGCGGCAAGUGUUUCCCGGCUGUACGGAUCUAAUGCCGUCACCGGGCCUUGCCAGCUGUUGGUUGACGGUGUCCUAGGACUGGCUAAAAGAUACCGGUCGGCGACGCUACUGCUUUGGGUACUUUCAGGACCCGUCUUGAAACACGGACCAAGGAGUCUAACAUGUGCGCGAGUCAUUGGGAUCUAUUAAGCCUAAAGGCGCAAUGAAAGUGAAGAUCGGCCUCGCGCCGAUCGAGGGAGGAUGGGCCGCGUCACGAUGCGGUCCCGCACUCCCGGGGCGUCUCGUUCUCAU
rnacentral:rRNA from 1 species